rnacentral:rRNA from 1 species
AUUGAACGCUGGCGGAAUGCUUUACACAUGCAAGUCGAACGGCAGCACGGGGGCAACCCUGGUGGCGAGUGGCGAACGGGUGAGUAAUACAUCGGAACGUGCCCAGUCGUGGGGGAUAACGUAGCGAAAGCUACGCUAAUACCGCAUACGAUCUCUGGAUGAAAGCGGGGGACCGCAAGGCCUCGCGCGAUUGGAGCGGCCGAUGGCAGAUUAGGUAGUUGGUGGGGUAAAGGCUCACCAAGCCGACGAUCUGUAGCUGGUCUGAGAGGACGACCAGCCACACUGGGACUGAGACACGGCCCAGACUCCUACGGGAGGCAGCAGUGGGGAAUUUUGGGACAAUGGGCGAAAGCCUGAUCCAGCCAUUCCGCGUGCAGGAUGAAGGCCCUCGGGUUGUAAACUGCUUUUGUACGGAACGAAACGGUCCUGGUUAAUACCUGGGGCUAAUGACGGUACCGUAAGAAUAAGCACCGGCUAACUACGUGCCAGCAGCCGCGGU